AGACGAAGGUGGCGAGCGUUGUUCGGAAUUACUGGGCAUAAAGCGCGCGUAGGUGGCUUGGUAUGUCAAUGGUGAAAUCCCAUGGCUCAACCAUGGAACUGCCGUUGAAACUGCCUUGCUUGAGUUCAGGAGGGGAGAGUGGAAUUCCUAGUGUAGCGGUGAAAUGCGUAGAUAUUAGGAGGAACGCCGGAGGCGAAAGCGACUCUCUGGACUGACACUGACACUGAGGCGCGAAAGCUAGGGGAGCAAACAGGAUUAGAAACCCCGGUAGUCC
rnacentral:rRNA from 1 species